rnacentral:rRNA from 1 species
GAGUUUGAUCAUGGCUCAGAACGUACGCUGGCGGCACGCCUAAUACAUGCAAGUCGAACGAAGUAGCAAUACUUAGUGGCAGACGGGUGAGUAACAUGUAGGUAUCUUCCCAUUGGUGAGGAAUAACACGAGGAAACUUGUGCUAAUACCUCAUAAGUCUUUACGGAGAAAGCUUUAUGCGCCGAUGGAUGAGCCUGCACUUGAUUAGUUUGUUGGUAGGGUAAUGGCCUACCAAGACAAUGAUCAAUAGCUGAUUUGAGAGGAUGAUCAGCCACAUUGGGACUGAGACACGGCCCAAACUCCUACGGGAGGCAGCAGUAGGGAAUCUUGCACAAUGGGGGAAACCCUGAUGCAGCGAUGCCGCGUGAGUGAAGAAGGCCUUUGGGUUGUAAAGCUCUUUCGUCGGGGAAGAAAAUGACUGUACCCGAAUAAGAAGGUCCGGCUAACUUCGUGCCAGCAGCCGCGGUAAUACGAAGGGACCUAGCGUAGUUCGGAAUUACUGGGCUUAAAGAGUUCGUAGGUGGUUAAAAAAGUUGGUGGUGAAAUCCCAGAGCUUAACUCUGGAACUGCCAUCAAAACUUUUCAGCUAGAGUAUGAUAGAGGAAAGCAGAAUUUCUAGUGUAGAGGUGAAAUUCGUAGAUAUUAGAAAGAAUACCAAUUGCGAAGGCAGCUUUCUGGAUCAUUACUGACACUGAGGAACGAAAGCAUGGGUAGCGAAGAGGAUUAGAUACCCUCGUAGUCCAUGCCGUAAACGAUGUGUGUUAGACGUUGGAAAUUUAUUUUCUGUGUCGCAGCGAAAGCAAUAAACACACCGCCUGGGGAGUACGACCGCAAGGUUAAAGCUCAAAUGAAUUGACGGGGACCCGCACAAGUAGUGGAGCAUGUGGUUUAAUUCGAAGAUACGCGCAGAACCUUACCAACACUUGACAUGUUCGUCGCGACUUUAAGAGAUUAAAGUUUUCGGUUCGGCCGGACGAAACACAGGUGCUGCAUGGCUGUCGUCAGCUCGUGUCGUGAGAUGUUGGGUUAAGUCCCGCAACGAGCGCAACCCUCACUUUUAGUUGCCAUCAUUUAGUUGGGCGCUCUGAAAGAACUGCCAGUGAUAAGCUGGAGGAAGGUGGGGAUGACGUCAAGUCCUCAUGGCCCUUACGUGUUGGGCUACACACGUGCUACAAUGGCAUUUACAAUAGGAAGCAAAACGGCGACGUUAAGCAAAUCCUAAAAAAAUGCCUCAGUUCGGAUUGUACUCUGCAACUCGAGUACAUGAAGCUGGAAUUACUAGUAAUCGCGGAUCAGCGCGCCGCGGUGAAUACGU